rnacentral:rRNA from 1 species
AGUCGAGCGGAGAUGAGGUGCUUGCACCUUAUCUUAGCGGCGGACGGGUGAGUAAUGCUUAGGAAUCUGCCUAUUAGUGGGGGACAACAUUCCGAAAGGAAUGCUAAUACCGCAUACGUCCUACGGGAGAAAGCAGGGGAUCUUCGGACCUUGCGCUAAUAGAUGAGCCUAAGUCGGAUUAGCUAGUUGGUGGGGUAAAGGCCUACCAAGGCGACGAUCUGUAGCGGGUCUGAGAGGAUGAUCCGCCACACUGGGACUGAGACACGGCCCAGACUCCUACGGGAGGCAGCAGUGGGGAAUGUUGGACAAUGGGGGGAACCCUGAUCCAGCCAUGCCGCGUGUGUGAAGAAGGCCUUAUGGUUGUAAAGCACUUUAAGCGAGGAGGAGGCUACUGAGACUAAUACUCUUGGAUAGUGGACGUUACUCGCAGAAUAAGCACCGGCUAACUCUGUGCCAGCAGCCGCGGUAAUACAGAGGGUGCGAGCGUUAAUCGGAUUUACUGGGCGUAAAGCGUGCGUAGGCGGCUUUUUAAGUCGGAUGUGAAAUCCCCGAGCUUAACUUGGGAAUUGCAUUCGAUACUGGGAAGCUAGAGUAUGGGAGAGGAUGGUAGAAUUCCAGGUGUAGCGGUGAAAUGCGUAGAGAUCUGGAGGAAUACCGAUGGCGAAGGCAGCCAUCUGGCCUAAUACUGACGCUGAGGUACGAAAGCAUGGGGAGCAAACAGGAUUAGAUACCCUGGUAGUCCAUGCCGUAAACGAUGUCUACUA